rnacentral:rRNA from 1 species
CUUGCUCCCUGAUGUUAGCGGCGGACGGGUGAGUAACACGUGGGUAACCUGCCUGUAAGACUGGGAUAACUCCGGGAAACCGGGGCUAAUACCGGAUGGUUGUUUGAACCGCAUGGUUCAAACAUAAAAGGUGGCUUCGGCUACCACUUACAGAUGGACCCGCGGCGCAUUAGCUAGUUGGUGAGGUAACGGCUCACCAAGGCAACGAUGCGUAGCCGACCUGAGAGGGUGAUCGGCCACACUGGGACUGAGACACGGCCCAGACUCCUACGGGAGGCAGCAGUAGGGAAUCUUCCGCAAUGGACGAAAGUCUGACGGAGCAACGCCGCGUGAGUGAUGAAGGUUUUCGGAUCGUAAAGCUCUGUUGUUAGGGAAGAACAAGUACCGUUCGAAUAGGGCGGUACCUUGACGGUACCUAACCAGAAAGCCACGGCUAACUACGUGCCAGCAGCCGCGGUAAUACGUAGGUGGCAAGCGUUGUCCGGAAUUAUUGGGCGUAAAGGGCUCGCAGGCGGUUUCUUAAGUCUGAUGUGAAAGCCCCCGGCUCAACCGGGGAGGGUCAUUGGAAACUGGGGAACUUGAGUGCAGAAGAGGAGAGUGGAAUUCCACGUGUAGCGGUGAAAUGCGUAGAGAUGUGGAGGAACACCAGUGGCGAAGGCGACUCUCUGGUCUGUAACUGACGCUGAGGAGCGAAAGCGUGGGGAGCGAACAGGAUUAGAUACCCUGGUAGUCCACGCCGUAAACGAUGAGUGCUAAGUGUUAGGGGGUU